rnacentral:rRNA from 1 species
AUUGAACGCUGGCGGCAUGCCUUACACAUGCAAGUCGAACGGCAGCACGGGAGCAAUCCUGGUGGCGAGUGGCGAACGGGUGAGUAAUAUAUCGGAACGUGCCCAGUCGUGGGGGAUAACGCAGCGAAAGCUGUGCUAAUACCGCAUACGAUCUCUGGAUGAAAGCGGGGGACUCGCAAGAGCCUCGCGCGAUUGGAGCGGCCGAUAUCAGAUUAGCUAGUUGGUGGGGUAAAAGCUCACCAAGGCGACGAUCUGUAGCUGGUCUGAGAGGACGACCAGCCACACUGGAACUGAGACACGGUCCAGACUCCUACGGGAGGCAGCAGUGGGGAAUUUUGGACAAUGGGCGCAAGCCUGAUCCAGCAAUGCCGCGUGCAGGAUGAAGGCCUUCGGGUUGUAAACUGCUUUUGUACGGAACGAAACGGCUCUUUCUAAUAAAGAGGGCUAAUGACGGUACCGUAAGAAUAAGCACCGGCUAA